GACGAACGCUGGCGGCGUGCCUAAUACAUGCAAGUAGAACGCUGAAGGAGGAGCUUGCUUCUCUGGAUGAGUUGCGAACGGGUGAGUAACGCGUAGGUAACCUGCCUGGUAGCGGGGGAUAACUAUUGGAAACGAUAGCUAAUACCGCAUAAGAGUAGAUGUCGCAUGACAUUUGCUUAAAAGGUGCAAUUGCAUCACUACCAGAUGGACCUGCGUUGUAUUAGCUAGUUGGUGAGGUAACGGCUCACCAAGGCAACGAUACAUAGCCGACCUGAGAGGGUGAUCGGCCACACUGGGACUGAGACACGGCCCAGACUCCUACGGGAGGCAGCAGUAGGGAAUCUUCGGCAAUGGACGGAAGUCUGACCGAGCAACGCCGCGUGAGUGAAGAAGGUUUUCGGAUCGUAAAGCUCUGUUGUAAGAGAAGAACGAGUGUGAGAGUGGAAAGUUCACACUGUGACGGUAUCUUACCAGAAAGGGACGGCUAACUACGUGCCAGCAGCCGCGGUAAUACGUAGGUCCCGAGCGUUGUCCGGAUUUAUUGGGCGUAAAGCGAGCGCAGGCGGUUAGAUAAGUCUGAAGUUAAAGGCUGUGGCUUAACCAUAGUACGCUUUGGAAACUGUUUAACUUGAGUGCAAGAGGGGAGAGUGGAAUUCCAUGUGUAGCGGUGAAAUGCGUAGAUAUAUGGAGGAACACCGGUGGCGAAAGCGGCUCUCUGGCUUGUAACUGACGCUGAGGCUCGAAAGCGUGGGGAGCAAACAGG
rnacentral:rRNA from 1 species